AAUACUUAAAAAGAAAGGGCUCUUCCUAAUAAUAAGCAUGAAUUUUUGAAAAGAAAUGCUUCCUGUCCUGUGCAUUCCACUCACUUGGAAUUUCACCAGUUACUAGAUAAUUAGCAAUAUGAGCAUACCAAGGAGUUUUUACUAGGAACAUGAGUGAUUCUUCAGGAAAAUCAUCAUUAAUAGGCAAGGGAUGGGAAUUAUGUGCUAUAACUAACCUUGAAAGGUGGUCAGCUACCACAUUCUCCACUCCUUUCUUAUCUUUGAU
rnacentral:lncRNA from 1 species